rnacentral:rRNA from 1 species
AGAGUUUGAUCAUGGCUCAGGACGAACGCUUGCGGCGUGCCUAAGAAAUGCAAGUCGAGCGAGCUUAGGGCUUCGGCCCGAAGGCUAGCGGCGAACGGUCGAGUAACACGUGAGCAACCUGCCCUAAAGUGGGGGAUAGCCCAGCGAAAGUUGGAUUAAUACCGCAUGUGAUCCGUUCCCGGCAUCGGGAACUGAUUGAAGCAGCAAUGCGCUUUAGGAUGGGCUCGCGGCCUAUCAGCUUGUUGGUGGGGUAAUGGCCUACCAAGGCGACGACGGGUAGCUAGUCUGAGAGGAUGGUCAGCCGGAUUGGGACUGAGACACGGCCCAGACUCCUACGGGGGGCAGCAAUUAGGAAUCUUGCGCAAUGGGCGAAAGCCUGACGCAGCGACGCCGCGUGACUGAUGAAGUCCUUCGGGAUGUAAAAGUCUUUUGCCGGGGAAGAAGAUCUGACGGUACCCGGCGAAUAAGCCCCGGCUAACUACGUGCCAGCAGCCGCGGUAAUACGUAGGGGGCGAGCGUUGUCCGAAGUUACUGGGCGUAAAGCGCGCGUAGGCGGUCGCUUAAGUUAGAUGUGAAAUCCCGCAGCUCAACUGCGGAACUGCAUCUAAAACUGGGCGACUUGAGGACGGAAGAGGGCAGUGGAAUUCCUGGUGUAGCGGUGAAAUGCGUAGAUAUCAGGAGGAACACCCGUGGCGAAGGCGGCUGCCUGGUCCGUAUCUGACGCUGAGGUGCGAAAGCUAGGGGAGCGAACGGGAUUAGAUACCCCGGUAGUCCUAGCCGUAAACGAUGGAUACUAGGUGUAAGUGGUAUCGACCCCACUUGUGCCG